rnacentral:tRNA from 1 species
GGGGUAUAGCUCAGAUGGGAGAGCGAUUGGUUCGCAAUCAAUAGGUCAGGGGUUCGAUUCCCCUUACCUCC